UUGGAGUUUUAUUCCAGCUCAAAAAUUGGAUUUUUUUUUUACUUAAAUGUGAAUUUUUGUAAUUGGUUAUUUUAAAUAAAUAAUUUUAAUGCAAUAAGUAGUAUUAAAUAUUAAAGAAAUUUAGAUUUAGAAAUAAAAAGAUAAUAUUAACAAAAUUUGUGCCAGCAGUUGCGGUUAUACAAAUAAUAUGAUUCAAUUUAAUUAGCAUUAAUUAAUUUAUAAUAUAAUAAUUUUAAAUUAAAAUUUAUUAGGUGAAAUUAUUAAAUUUUAAUAAAAUUUGCUGUUUUUAAUGAAGUUAAGAAAUUUAAUUAAUAAACUAGGAUUAGAUACCCUAUUAUUUUGAAUGUACUUUUAAAUGCUAAAUUAGUAUUAGUUAUGUUCUUGAAAAUUAAAGAUUUUGGCGGUAUUUUAGUCUAUUCAGAGGAACCUGUUCUAUAAUUGAUAGUCCACGAUUUAAUUUACUUUUUUUAUUAGUUUGUAUAUCGUCGUAAUUUGAAUAUUUUAUAAGAAAAAUAAUAUUCAAAAUUUUUUAUUUAAAAAAUAAAUCAGAUCAAGGUGCAGUUUAUAAAAAAGAAGAAAUGGGUUACAAUAAAAUUAUUUAAGGAUUACUAAUUUUAAAAUAGUAUGAAUUUGGAUUUGAGGGUAAAUUUAAUUAAUUAAUUAAAUUGAUUUUAGCUCUAAAAUAUGUACAUAUCGCCCGUCGCUUUCAUUUUAAUAUGAAAUAAGUCGUAACAAAGUAGAUUUACUGGAAAGUGAAUCUAGAAGCAC
rnacentral:ncRNA from 1 species